rnacentral:rRNA from 1 species
AGUGAACGCUGGCGGUAGGCCUAACACAUGCAAGUCGAACGGCAGCACAGUAAGAGCUUGCUCUUACGGGUGGCGAGUGGCGGACGGGUGAGGAAUACAUCGGAAUCUACUUUUUCGUGGGGGUAAAGGUGGGGAACUUACGGCUACACCCCCUUCGGCCUUCGGGGUAAAGGAGGGGGUUUUCGGACCUUGGGCCAAUGAAUGAGCCAAUGUUGGGUUAGCUGUUUGGGGGGGUAAGGCCCCCCAAGGGGACGAUCCGUAGCUGGGCUGAGAGGAUGAUCAGCCACACUGGAACUGAGACACGGUCCAGACUCCUACGGGAGGCAGCAGUGGGGAAUAUUGGACAAUGGGCGCAAGCCUGAUCCAGCCAUACCGCGUGGGUGAAGAAGGCCUUCGGGUUGUAAAGCCCUUUUGUUGGGAAAGAAAAGCAGCAGGUUAAUACCCCGCUGUUCUGACGGUACCCAAAGAAUAAGCACCGGCUAACUUCGUG